UCCCUGGUUGCUCAGAGGUUAAAGCGUCUGCCUGCAGUGCAGGAGACCCAGGUUCGAUCCCUGGGUCGGGAA
rnacentral:tRNA from 1 species